rnacentral:rRNA from 1 species
AUGAACGCUGGCGGCGUGCCUAAUACAUGCAAGUCGAGCGAACGGACGAGAAGCUUGCUUCUCUGAUGUUAGCGGCGGACGGGUGAGUAACACGUGGAUAACCUACCUAUAAGACUGGGAUAACUUCGGGAAACCGGAGCUAAUACCGGAUGAUAUUUUGAACCGCAUGGUUCAAAAGUGAAAGACGGUCUUGCUGUCACGUAUAGAUGGAUCCGCGCUGCAUUAGCUAGUUGGUAAGGUAACGGCUUACCAAGGCAACGAUGCAUAGCCGACCUGAGAGGGUGAUCGGCCACACUGGAACUGAGACACGGUCCAGACUCCUACGGGAGGCAGCAGUAGGGAAUCUUCCGCAAUGGGCGAAAGCCUGACGGAGCAACGCCGCGUGAGUGAUGAAGGUCUUCGGAUCGUAAAACUCUGUUAUUAGGGAAGAACAUAUGUGUAAGUAACUGUGCACAUCUUGACGGUACCUAAUCAGAAAGCCACAGCUAACUACGUG